UCCAUUCUUUUGGGACCACGUUUUUGCUUUUUUCUUUCUUUAUUUCUUUCUUCUAUUUUUUUUCCCAUGCUAUCCUACUUAGGUUUACCACAAGAAAUAUAUACUUUGUUAAAGUUUUGCUAUUUCCACUGCCUUUGUUUUUUCCUAGUCAUAUAAGACAAAAUAUGAUGAGAUUGUUUGUAAGAAAAAUAUGGCUGGAGUUAGUAGAAAUCAAAGUCCUCCACAUCUAGAGAAAGUCCUCUAUUUAUACCCUCCUAUCCUUCCUUAUCUAUGAAGCCUUCAUAUGGGAAUAGAAAGAUGAUAUGAAGAAAAUUAAGGUUUCAAAGGCUUAAUCUCUCUAUAUGUAUAUACCUACCCCUUAAUGAUCUUCUUGCCGUGCACCACUAGUAGUUGAAGCUGCCAGCAUGAUCUGAGCUUUCCUUAAUUAUCCUAAUCGAAUUAUCGAUCCAGAGGAGAGACUAGAUCAUGUGGCUGCUUCACCUGUUGCUGGUAGCAUGAAAAACCCUAAUCAGGAUAAACCCUAAUUUCAUGGUUCGAUCCAUUUUUGAUAACCCACUAGGGCUUUAUCAUGGAAAAACACUAGAUGAGGUUUGUGGAGAAUCUUGUUAGCAGCUAUGUGAUGCUGUUAAGAACUUGAGUGACAGAAUUUCUGUCCUAACUUGGUUGGUUCUUUUGAGAUCUAUCCUCGUGCCUUGAAGAGAGUGCUCUUAUAUACUUUCAUGUGCUGUUCAUAUCAAUUUAAUUUGUUUAUGCUUUCUUUUACUACUCUUGUCUUAUUCUAUAUUCAAAAUUCAUGCUGCUGAAUUUUCUUAAUUUUCUCUUUUUUAAUUAAUUAGAAUUGAAUCCCAAGCGAUAGAUCAUCUUGAAACAGAAAAUGCUACUUAGAAUAAUAAAGGAAGUUGAAUUAAUUGCUGCCUUCCUUCUCCUGUCUCUCCACCUCCCAAAAGAUGAUAAUUUUCAUAAGAAUUGGUGUUUAAUUAGGGAUGGAAUAGUGAUUUUCUUUUUUCUGUUGGAAGUCAUAAUUGUGAUCAUGAGAUGGGAGUGACUGAAAUAUGCAUGAAAUAUAUGACUAGAUCAAAUAGUGAACCAACAUAUGAUAUGAGUGAAGAAAUUCUAGAAAUGUAUAGAGCUUAGAUCUGGCAGGGAAUAAAUGACUUUUCUUCUGGUUUUCAUCUUCAUUACAAUUGAGGAAAUUAAAGAUUACAAGUGACAACAUACUCUCUCAGAGAAAAUCCAUUUUUAGUAAAUUUCCCUUGUGCAUGAAAAAAGUGCAUAGAAGGACCCAUAUCUAUUUUCUCAUUUUAGAUCCAAAUCAAACAUCUUUUUAGAGGAUUUUGAAGCCUACAGGAAUUCAGCUUCUAUAGUUAUACAUACCCUCUCCAUGAAACAAAGCUAGUAAGGAGCAUCUGCAUUUCAUUUCCACAUUAUCCAUUAAAUGUAAAACCAGUUUGUGAGGACCAUCUCUUUCCAACUCAAGUAAAUUCAUCAAUAACUUAAUCCUAAUUUACUUGGGAUAUAUUAUACCUUCCAUUAACACUUGUUCAUAAUAAGCUUCUCAUCACUUCAACAAACAUUAUAUUCUAUUUAUUGAAAAAAAAAAAGAGAAAAAACUGACACCAACUGCAACCCUCCACUUAAUCACAAGAGGAUUCUUGUGAGUUGUGAGGACCAUCUGGGUGUCUACACAAACUGCCCUACUGGUCCUGGCUAUAUAUCCUUUUAAGUUUCUGCUCAAGCACUAGCCUACAAUGCAAACUUGGUACAUGUAUCAAAUGUGGUACCAUCCUUGUAAAUCAAAUGUGGAACCUCCUUGUAAAAUAGACAUAACAAAUUAAACAUAUAUGCAUCCAUUUGAUGUGGGUUUUAUAAUUCUGAACAUUAUCUUUUGGAACGACUUUCGUCUUUCUCCAAGUUGAAAUGGAUGACGAUUUCUAUGGUCAGAAUACAUCACAACAAAAGAAUGGCUCUCUCUAUCUAUAGUAUUUAGCUCAUUUAAUGCAUAAAUCCAUAAUUCCACCGUUUCUUUAAUUCUUUUGUUUUUUUAGACGCUCAUUAACUAUUCAAUGUUUGAUUCCCUAAGCUUGUAGCUUCUGAUUAUAAUUAUGAAUUUCCCAAAAGUUCACAGUGCCUAAUGUGCAAGGCUUGCUAACUCCUUUAAGGAAUAAUUGAAUCUCUGAUAUGCUUGUGUUAUUUAUAUAUGAUAAUACUAGUGAGUUGCAGUAUUUGUGUUAUCUAAUGUCAGGGUUUGAACUCCUAAAAAAUGCAGAUCUAUAUUUCUCGCUUGAAAUUAUAUGAUUUAUGGAUUUAUGGAAAACUUAUAUAUCAGUUUUUUCUCAUUAAUUUUGGUUGUUACAGUAAAUGUUUCAUUUCCGUUUGUUUACAAGCCUGAGUUAGCUAGACUCCAAGAAACCUUCACAGGAUUCCUGAAGCGAACCACGUAAAGGAAAACGUGAGCAAGUUGUGUUUGGAUAUCUUUUUCUGGGAUUUUCUUUUUGUCAUGAUCUUUCAAGUGGAACAGACAUUGCUUGCCGGAGUUUUUUACUUGCCAUUAAUUGUCAAUGGGGCUUUAACACGAUGAUAUGACUAGCGAAGUAACCCUAGAAGGCAUUUCUUGACUUUUCCCUUCUGUGGCUAAACGCUUGUAUCGAUCACUUACUGACAGGUACAUAUUGGGGCUGCCAAAGGGCUUUUGAGUGGAUUGACACAUGACUUGAAGCAAGAAUAAGUCAUGGGCUUUAUUAGCAUAAACCUUUCCGUACUGACUGAGACUGAUGUCAAAUUUCAAGGGCUUGACUACUGAAUUAAUUGGCAAGGAUAUAUAGAUGGUCUUUGGUUUCAAAAGCAGAAGAUACCAAAUGGAUUUGCAUUUAUCUUAUCAUAUACAGAAAUGAGACAUUAAGAAAAUUGAAGUGCAUAUCCAAGGCUAUAUGAAAUCCAUAAUUCUUGUAAUCCAUAAUUGUUCUGGAGCCUCUUUCAUCUAUUUAUUUGUAUACAAAAACAUGUUGAGUUGAUGUCUCUAUAGUAUCUUGGAUUAACAAGUUUUUCUAAUAAAGUUUUCAUUUUAAUUGGA